rnacentral:rRNA from 1 species
UACGGGGGGGGCAAGCGUUGUUCGGAAUUACUGGGCGUAAAGCGCGCGCAGGCGGUUUUCAAGUCAGUGGUGAAAGCCCGGAGCUCAACUCCGGAACUGCCUUUGAAACUGCAAUGCUAGAAUCCUGGAGAGGCGAGUGGAAUUCCGAGUGUAGAGGUGAAAUUCGUAGAUAUUCGGAAGAACACCAGUGGCGAAGGCGACUCGCUGGACAGGUAUUGACGCUGAGGUGCGAAAGCGUGGGGAGCAAACAGG